rnacentral:rRNA from 1 species
UGGGGAAUAUUGGACAAUGGGCGAAAGCCUGAUCCAGCAACGCCGCGUGAGGGAUGACGGCCUUCGGGUUGUAAACCUCUUUCACCUGUGACGAAGCGAAAGUGACGGUAGCGGGAGAAGAAGCACCGGCCAACUACGUGCCAGCAGCCGCGGUAAUACGUAGGGUGCGAGCGUUGUCCGGAAUUAUUGGGCGUAAAGGGCUCGUAGGCGGUUUGUCACGUCGGGAGUGAAAACUCGGGGCUUAACCCCGAGCCUGCUUCCGAUACGGGCUGACUAGAGGUAUGCAGGGGAGAACGGAAUUCCUGGUGUAGCGGUGAAAUGCGCAGAUAUCAGGAGGAACACCGGUGGCGAAGGCGGUUCUCUGGGCAUUACCUGACGCUGAGGAGCGAAAGUGUGGGGAGCGAAC